UUAAUAAGCAAUGCUUCUAAACUCUUUCUUGACAUCCCUUUGAGCUUUCUAGGGAGGCAGGUGUAUUAGCGGAGGGGACUUAAGGCAGCCACAAGCUGACAACCUUUAUUUGCUUUUUAAACUGUGUGGAAAAAAUGGCUUUAAACUCAGUGAGGUAGUGAUUCACUCUUAAAUUACCAGACCUUAUGUUGUGCUGAGUGACAGCUUUCUUAGCAGCUAAUGGAAAUCAGUAAUAGAUUCAGAUAUUCACUUCGUUAGUUUCUCAAUUAAAAUACAGUGGGUUUUUUUUCUUUUUUUUUGAUGCCAGGCAAUCUAGUUUUGCUUGCUCUAGUCAGCAGGAAACUCAGUCCCUAUUGAGGACCCUCUUUCGGAGGAGCCGGAGCCUCGACAUGACCACAUCCCAGUCUGCGUAGGCGCCCUCGAGGUGACGUGUCACUUCAGAGCCUGAGUGGUAGCUCCUGCGGCCGUGCAGCACUCGCCAGUUAUCAAACGUUAUUAUGUCUCCUGCAAAGAGAUUGCACAGCCUCUGACAUCUGGUUUGUCUCCACAAAAGCACAUCCAGCCAGAUGAAAUCCUGCAGGAUGGUGUCAUUCAUCUUUUUCUUAUUUGGAGUGCACUGAUGCUAUUUCAGAUGAGUGCCAGUAACAGCCCAAGACUAUUUACAAAUCCAAGGGAUGCCAGGAGCUUUGCUAAUAUCACAUCUUGGAUUGAUUGUGACAAAAACUGCUGACCAAUUCUGGGACUAGGAGAGGAUCCAGCCACACUUAGGCUCCUUACCCCUGUGGCCCAAGGAGUUUAGGAAGCAAAGGGAUCCAUUCUGAACCUUGUGACUCAACAGGAGGGCCCUGUAUGUAUUUAACCUACCCUCUAUGCAGAACAUCACACGUAUCCAGCCAUCUUGUUAAUGUUGUGAUUUAACAGCAUCUUAUGUCAGUAAACAUAUUCCUGUUCUUCUUCUAUGAACAAAGAGUAUAGUGCAUUUGUUUCCAUUUGCCAUGCCUCAACAGGAAAUGCUCAGGAUUGCUUCUCCAGGACACAUAUAAGACAAUGUUGGACACCUUCCCAAGAUGAUGAUGAUUAGAAGCAGCAUUUACUUUUUCCCUUGUGCAAUCACCCUGUCCUUUAAGAGACACAGAUACUCACUGUUGGGACUGAAUGGUCACCCAGCAGGACCAGGUUGCUAUAGCUGUUCCCUAUUGCUCCUAAAAAGCGGAAGCAAAUUAACCAAGCAUAACCACGGAGUAUGGCUAAGCACUUUGUAGAUAUGUAACAAUUGCAGUAGCAAAAGGCACUUGAUAAACCAGCAAGGCAUAAACACACAGAGGAUGGGCAAGCAGGAAGGCACAGAUGGCUGCAUGCUUGAUGUACAGGAAGCAGGAACAAAAAGUAAACUCAGCAAGAGUGCAACAAGAGCAAAUGAAGGGUCCUCCUUUCCAUUCAAGAGAAGAAGAAAACACCAACACAGAACGAAGGAAAACAAAGGAAGAACAGUGCACCACACCACUGGUUUCCCACCUCAAGCAACACACAAAGUCCUGUACCUUGGAAGCUGUGCAAGCCACAAAGUAUCAACGCUCCUCUAUUUUAUACUCACAGAUACUCUAGGAUGAGUUUGUUGUGGACCACUUGUGUGUUGAUGUGAUGUGUACAGUUAAUAAAUGUCAAUCCUGUGAAGUGUUACUUUAAAACUUAAA